UUGGACGCUGGCGGCAGGCCUAACACAUGCAAGUCGAGCGGUAGCACAGAGAGCUUGCUCUCGGGUGACGAGCGGCGGACGGGUGAGUAAUGUCUGGGAAACUGCCUGAUGGAGGGGGAUAACUACUGGAAACGGUAGCUAAUACCGCAUAAUGUCGCAAGACCAAAGUGGGGGACCUUCGGGCCUCAUGCCAUCAGAUGUGCCCAGAUGGGAUUAGCUAGUAGGUGGGGUAACGGCUCACCUAGGCGACGAUCCCUAGCUGGUCUGAGAGGAUGACCAGCCACACUGGAACUGAGACACGGUCCAGACUCCUACGGGAGGCAGCAGUGGGGAAUAUUGCACAAUGGGCGCAAGCCUGAUGCAGCCAUGCCGCGUGUGUGAAGAAGGCCUUCGGGUUGUAAAGCACUUUCAGCGGGGAGGAAGGCGUUAAGGUUAAUAACCUUGGCGAUUGACGUUACCCGCAGAAGAAGCACCGGCUAACUCCGUGCCAGCAGCCGCGGUAAUACGGAGGGUGCAAGCGUUAAUCGGAAUUACUGGGCGUAAAGCGCACGCAGGCGGUCUGUCAAGUCGGAUGUGAAAUCCCCGGGCUCAACCUGGGAACUGCAUUCGAAACUGGCAGGCUAGAGUCUUGUAGAGGGGGGUAGAAUUCCAGGUGUAGCGGUGAAAUGCGUAGAGAUCUGGAGGAAUACCGGUGGCGAAGGCGGCCCCCUGGACAAAGACUGACGCUCAGGUGCGAAAGCGUGGGGAGCAAACAGGAUUAGAUACCCUGGUAGUCCACGCCGUAAACGAUGUCGAUUUGGAGGUUGUGCCCUUGAGGCGUGGCUUCCGGAGCUAACGCGUUAAAUCGACCGCCUGGGGAGUACGGCCGCAAGGUUAAAACUCAAAUGAAUUGACGGGGGCCCGCACAAGCGGUGGAGCAUGUGGUUUAAUUCGAUGCAACGCGAAGAACCUUACCUGGUCUUGACAUCCACAGAACUUUCCAGAGAUGGAUUGGUGCCUUCGGGAACUGUGAGACAGGUGCUGCAUGGCUGUCGUCAGCUCGUGUUGUGAAAUGUUGGGUUAAGUCCCGCAACGAGCGCAACCCUUAUCCUUUGUUGCCAGCGGUUAGGCCGGGAACUCAAAGGAGACUGCCAGUGAUAAACUGGAGGAAGGUGGGGAUGACGUCAAGUCAUCAUGGCCCUUACGACCAGGGCUACACACGUGCUACAAUGGCAUAUACAAAGAGAAGCGACCUCGCGAGAGCAAGCGGACCUCAUAAAGUAUGUCGUAGUCCGGAUUGGAGUCUGCAACUCGACUCCAUGAAGUCGGAAUCGCUAGUAAUCGUAGAUCAGAAUGCUACGGUGAAUACGUUCCCGGGCCUUGUACACACCGCCCGUCACACCAUGGGAGUGGGUUGCAAAAGAAGUAGGUAGCUUAACCUUCGGGAGGGCGCUUACCACUUUGUGAUUCAUGACUGGGGUG
rnacentral:rRNA from 1 species